UACAGAGGGUGCAAGCGUUGUUCGGAAUCAUUGGGCGUAAAGGGCGUGUAGGCGGUCUGUUAAGUCAUGUGUGAAAUCCCUCGGCUCAACCGGGGAACGACGCAUGAAACUGACAAGCUAGAGUACCAAAGAGGGGGGUGGAAUUCCUGGUGUAGCGGUGAAAUGCGCAGAUAUCAGGAAGAACACCAAUGGCGAAGGCAGCUCUCUGGGACGGUACUGACGCUGAGACGCGAAAGCGUGGGGAGCAAACGGG
rnacentral:rRNA from 1 species